rnacentral:rRNA from 1 species
UCAGUCGACUCCUACGGGGAGGCAGCAGUGAGGAAUAUGGGUCAAUGGGCGCAAGCCUGAACCAGCCAUGCCGCGUGCAGGAAGACUGCCCUAUGGGUUGUAAACUGCUUUAUACAGGAAGAAACACUCCCUCGUGAGGGAGCUUGACGGUACUGUAAGAAUAAGGAUCGGCUAACUCCGUGCCAGCAGCCGCGGUAAUACGGAGGAUCCAAGCGUUAUCCGGAAUCAUUGGGUUAAGGGUCCGUAGGUGGAUUAGUAAGUCAGAGGUGAAAUCCUGCAGCUCAACUGUAGAACUGCCUUUGAUACUGCUAGUCUUGAGUCAUUAUGAAGUGGUUAGAAUGUGUAGUGUAGCGGUGAAAUGCAUAGAUAUUACACAGAAUACCGAUUGCGAAGGCAGAUCACUAAUAAUGUACUGACACUGAUGGACGAAAGCGUGGGGAGCGAACAGGAUUAGAUACCCUGGUAG